AGCUUGCAAAGAUAACGCUUCAAAGAAAACACGUUCUAAAUACACCUUUAAAAGCCUUAAAACGUAAUUCCAUAAAUGUUUGUGUUACUUGGGUGAGAGAUAAAGCAAAGCGGUAUUGCUGAACUGUAGCGGGGCUGAAUACCUGCAAACUUCUCCCGUGUCCCUAUCAGAUGAAUAGCUCACUUAUUAACCUAGAGCUGCCUACAGCAGAGCCCGUUCCUUUCUCAAUGAUCUUCUCCCUGCUGUGGGCUCUGUUUGCCCGUGGCAGUGCCGCUCUGCUAGGACGUGGCCACUGGUGCAAAUCAGAGCAAAACCUGGAAUCAAAAUCCUUCCCAGUGCUCCAGCCAAACACAAGCAGCUCCCGCCGUGAACCUCUGGAGAUGCCGCCCAACUGCAGCAGGAGGACUAGUCUUUCACUUGCAUAUCCAGCACAGAAGGCAAGCCCUGAAGGUCAGCAGUGAGCUCUGAGCACUGGAAUUGGACAACAGCAAACUGCAGGCCCAAGUCAAAGUCACAGCAAUGCUGUGUCACCGCUUGGGCUCCACGUGCCAGGACAAAGGCAGAGUGACACCAAGAUUGCUUUGAGGGGCUGCCAAACUCACGUUCCUCCUCUUCAAAGUUCGUCCACUCUCAUCUCACCACCAAAGCAGAAAUGGGGGCCACAUUGUGCAAAAUGUUUCCUUCAACCAGGCUGAAGGCGAAUGCUUUGGAAAUUCCAACUUUGUCCAAGGAAUAGGGGUUACUGUAAGACAGUGACUGCGUGCACUGCAAACCCCAUCCUUACUGCCUGUGCCCCUUGCUUCACCUGGUGCUUUGUGAUGGGUUAUGCUAACAUACAUGAAAUUUAAUUUCCGCUUAUUAACCCACAGGAGGCUAUUACUGUUUUCAAAGACAUUACAUUGCUUCCAAUUAGUGCUGCCCUUUGGUUUAUGGUAUGUUGUUUUUCUUGAAAACCUUUGAACCAGGUUGUACAUGAGCUGAAGGGCAUUCUGGGGCUGUUAAUAAAGAUUAACUCUUUUGAGCAAAUACAUGCUCCGAUUCAUUUGUGAGGAUUACGUUGCUGCAAAGAAAGGGGAUUUGAGAAAACGUUACCAGACUCUUUGCUUUCCCUUCCAUUUUCUCAAUAUAUUUUUUUUUUAUGAUUUCCUUUAUCUGGUAAUCCUUCCUUCCAGCCUUGCCAAAGAUGCCCCUCUUUUAGUUUCCACAGCAGCACAGUCACAGAGAUGCCUCAAGAAGCAACAACUGCCCUGCUUCUUCCAGAGGGGGGCUUUGGGUGACUUCGUCCAACCUCUCUUGAAAACGUGUAAAGAAACAAGGAAUCUUGAGAUGCCAGGAGAAGGGAAAGGGGUACUGCUGUAACUCAGAAGCAUUUACAUACAGAUCUGUUUGACUGCCUUGUUCAAUCUUAACUCCCACUGCUCAUCUUUCUCCAUGCUACCAUGAAAUUUUAUCGCUCUAAGUUAGCUUUAGUCUUUCUGCUUGUCUGGUAUCAUUUACUCACCUCUUUACCUUCACAUUACCAAUGCACAUUACAAAUACAAAGUCAAUUAUGUCCUCAGCAUAUGUAUUUGCUGCUCUGAUUGCCUUUUAGCUUAGUGUUAUUACAUUAUACUUCUAUCAUGGUGCCAAAGGCUGUAGUCUCCCAUGUUCUUUUCUUUUGGUGUGGUUUUGUGUUUUAAUUGUGCCUUUUUUUUUGGGGGGGGGGGAAGGGCUUUGAAGGCUGGGGAGGCACGGCCUACACGGAUUUCACUACAAUUCAAGAGCACCCACACUUAGUCAACUCAAAUCCAAGAUGACAUCUACAUGCUAAGCGGAUGUGUGCCAAUAUAUACUUGGGUCAUACUUGUUCCCAGUGGAAGUGGACGCUUCAUUUUCUACCUGUUUGUAGGCUCUUGUUUAACCCACUGCCACAGGCUGGCACUUCUCCCAAAGCUGGUCCGUAAAGCAACAAACCUGCACUUAUCUGUUUUCAGUACGGCCAUAUAUCUGCAAGGACACACAGCCAGCAAUAUGGCUGCAACCUUGGUGGGUCUGCGGACAUUUAUUGUGAGAAGCAGCUGGGGAACAAUCAAAGUAAUUGCUCAGGGCCAGCGUACGUGUUUCUAAUGAGUCUCGUUGCAGAGGGACUUUUUCAGUGUCUGCAUUAUUUACACAGGACACCACUAUCAGUAAAAAGCCUUCUUAUCUCCCCUGUAUUUGUUUCUCUAUCUUUCAGUUUAGCAACUCUCAAAUUCUGUGCCUUUUUUUUUUUUAAUUUUUAUUUUUAUAGCCUGUUUCCUCUUUAGCGAUAUUAUCAUGGAGCCAAUAAAAGUGCUUUCCUUCUACAUCUGGUCAAGGAAAGAUUUUGCUGGGUACUCGAGUCAUAUUUCUGAAAAUGCCUCCGAGUGAAUAUAAAAAGCUGUUGGAAGCAAUUGAGUUUACUGUUGCCUUAUGUACUGUCAUUAAUUAGGAAAUAAAGCAAACGGC
ensembl:lncRNA